UACAGAGGUGGCAAGCGUUGUUCGGAAUUACUGGGCGUAAGGGCGAGUAGGUGGCCAUCUAAGUCAGACGUGAAAUCCCCCGGCUUAACCUGGGAACUGCGUCUGAUACUGGACGGCUAGAGUAUGGGAGAGGGAUGUAGAAUUCCAGGUGUAGCGGUGAAAUGCGUUGAUAUCGGAAGGAACGCCGGCGGCGAAAGCGGCUGCUGGACCCCAUCGUCGACGCUGAGGCGCGAAAGCCAGG
rnacentral:rRNA from 1 species